rnacentral:rRNA from 1 species
GCGAGCGGCGGAUGGGUGAGUAACACGUGGGGAACCUGCCCCUAAGUCUGGGAUACCAUUUGGAAACAGGUGCUAAUACCGGAUAAUAGAGCAGAUCGCAUGAAUCAGCUUUUGAAAGGCGGCGUAAGCUGUCGCUAAGGGAUGGCCCCGCGGUGCAUUAGCUAGUUGGUAAGGUAACGGCUUACCAAGGCGACGAUGCAUAGCCGAGUUGAGAGACUAAUCGGCCACAUUGGGACUGAGACACGGCCCAAACUCCUACGGGAGGCAGCAGUAGGGAAUCUUCCACAAUGGACGCAAGUCUGAUGGAGCAACGCCGCGUGAGUGAAGAAGGUUUUCGGAUCGUAAAGCUCUGUUGUUGGUGAAGAAGGAUAGAGGUAGUAACUGGCCUUUAUUUGACGGUAAUCAACCAGAAAGUCACGGCUAACUACGUGCCAGCAGCCGCGGUAAUACGUAGGUGGCAAGCGUUGUCCGGAUUUAUUGGGCGUAAAGCGAGCGCAGGCGGAAAAAUAAGUUCUAAUGUGAAAGCCCUCGGCUUAACCGAGGAACUGCAUCGGAAACUGUUUUUUCUUGAGUGCA